rnacentral:misc_RNA from 1 species
GAUGAAGAACGUAGCGAAAUGCGAUACGUAAUGUGAAUUGCAGAAUUCAGUGAAUCAUCGAGUCUUUGAAAGCACAUUGCGCCCCCUGGUAUUCCGGGGGGCAUGCCUGUCCGAGCGUCAUUGCUGCCCUCAAGCACGGCUUGUGUGUUGGGCCUCCGUCCUCCUCCCGGGGGACGGGCCCGAAAGGCAGCGGCGGCACCGCGUCCGGUCCUCGAGCGUAUGGGGCUUCGUCACCCGCUCUUGUAGGCCCGGCCGGCGCUUGCCGACACAUCAAUCUUUUUUCCAGGUUGACCUCGGAUCAGGUAGGGAUACCCGCUGAACUUAAGCAUAUCAAUAAGCGGAGGA